AUUGAACGCUGGUGGCAUGCUUUACACAUGCAAGUCGAACGGUAACAGGCCGCAAGGUGCUGACGAGUGGCGAACGGGUGAGUAAUGCAUCGGAACGUGCCCAGUCGUGGGGGAUAACUGCUCGAAAGAGCAGCUAAUACCGCAUACGAUCUAUGGAUGAAAGCGGGGGACCGUAAGGCCUCGCGCGAUUGGAGCGGCCGAUGUCAGAUUAGGUAGUUGGUGGGGUAAAGGCUCACCAAGCCAACGAUCUGUAGCUGGUCUGAGAGGACGACCAGCCACACUGGGACUGAGACACGGCCCAGACUCCUACGGGAGUCAGCAGUGGGGAAUUUUGGACAAUGGGCGCAAGCCUGAUCCAGCAAUGCCGCGUGCAGGAUGAAGGCCUUCGGGUUGUAAACUGCUUUUGUACGGAACGAAAAGCCCUGGGUUAAUACCCUGGGGUCAUGACGGUACCGUAAGAAUAAGCACCGGCUAACUACGUGCCAGCCGCCGCUGUAA
rnacentral:rRNA from 1 species